rnacentral:misc_RNA from 1 species
AUUAUACAUGCUUGCUAGUCAUGUAAGUCUCGUUUGGGUUGGUAGCCUUUUCUCAUCAAUGGAAUCUAUUGUUAUCACUGAAGUCAUUUUUUCUAUGCUGUCUCUAACAUUCAUGUAUUUGUGUUUUUCAUUGAAACUAUGCUAUAACAUUGAAUGACCUCUUUAGCUCUUAAACAGUUAAACAGUGUUAUGCUGGAUAAUUCAAUCUGUAAUUGAUGUGUUAUUUAUGCUAUGGGUAUAUCUGAUUUUCUUGUAGGUUUAUUUAUUUUAUUUUUGUAAAUUAAGAGGUUGAUUGUUUUAUAGUUGUUCAUCAUUUAUUUAUUUAGUUCAAUAGGGAG